rnacentral:rRNA from 1 species
AGUGAACGCUCGCGGUAGGCCUAACACAUGCAAGUCGAACGGCAGCACAGUAAGAGCUUGCUCUUACGGGUGGCGAGUGGCGGACGGGUGAGGAAUACAUCGGAAUCUACUUUUUCGUGGGGGAUAACGUAGGGAAACUUACGCUAAUACCGCAUACGACCUACGGGUGAAAGCAGGGGAUCUUCGGACCUUGCGCGAUUGAAUGAGCCGAUGUCGGAUUAGCUAGUUGGCGGGGUAAAGGCCCACCAAGGCGACGAUCCGUAGCUGGUCUGAGAGGAUGAUCAGCCACACUGGAACUGAGACACGGUCCAGACUCCUACGGGGGGCAGCAGUGGGGAAUAUUGGACAAUGGGCGCAAGCCUGAUCCAGCCAUACCGCGUGGGUGAAGAAGGCCUUCGGGUUGUAAAGCCCUUUUGUUGGGAAAGAAAAGCAGCAGGUUAAUACCCCGCUGUUCUGACGGUACCCAAAGAAUAAGCACCGGCUAACUUCGUG